GCCCGCAUAGCUCAGUCGGUAGAGCAUCAGACUUUUAAUCUGAGGGUCGCGGGUUCGAGUCCCUCUGCGGGCG
rnacentral:tRNA from 2 species